rnacentral:tRNA from 1 species
GCCUUGGUGGUCUAAAGGCUUAGGACGCUCGCACGGAAUGCAAGAGAUCCGGGUUCGACUCCCGCCCGAGGUA